AGUAGAUUGGCCUCAGAGGUGAAGACUGACAGUGCCCUGGACGCUGUGAGGAGGGAUGGCAUGCGAUAUCCGUUGAUCAGUGGAACCAAAACUGGCUUCCAGGGAGGAGAAUCAAGUUCCAAGAUGGUGUGGGAGGAAUCCGAGAUCCAGGAGAAUGAUGGGAAUUGGACCAAAAUCAAGGGAUUGGCCUAGAUUUGACUCACUGGAUACGUCAAACUGUGCGCCCUGUGAUUUUCCGAAACAGGGCAGCUUCCCCACAUUCCAGAAACCUGCUCACUCUCCAGCCCUUCAGACGGUAUCCCAC